CAAGGGACUUAAACAAAAUUGAGUGCACCGGCGGAAACGCUGGCUGUAGAACUGCUCAAAGUCGGGGAAACCUGUCAGAUGGCAAUCCCGAGCCAAGCCCCGCCAGGGGAAGGUGUAGAGACUAGACGGGCAGCACCUAAGGCAAACGCUAGGGUGAAGGUAUAGUCCAGACCACAAACGCCGAAAGGCGGCG
rnacentral:ncRNA from 1 species